UGCCUAGAGGGUGGGGGACUUCGAGGA
rnacentral:piRNA from 1 species